ACUCCGGUUGAUCCUGCCGGCGGCCACCGCUAUAGGAAUUCGAUUAAGACAUGCGAGUCGAGAGUCGUCAUGGACUCGGCGGACUGCUCAGUAACACGUGGAUAACGUGCCCUUAGGUGGGGGAUAAUCUCGGGAAAUUGAGAAUAAUACCCCAUAGGUCAUGGGAUCUGGAAUGACCCAUGGCCAAAAGUUCCGGCGCCUAAGGAUCGGUCUGCGGCCUAUCAGGUAGUAGUGGGUGUAACGUACCUACUAGCCUACGACGGGUAUGGGCCUUGAGAGAGGGAGCCCAGAGUUGGAUUCUGAGACACGAAUCCAGGCCCUACGGGGCGCAGCAGUCGCGAAAACUUCACAAUGGGGGCAACCCCGAUGAGGGACUUCCUAGUGCUAGCACAUUAGUGUUAGCUUUUCUUUAGCAUAGAUAACUAGAGGAAUAAGGGCUGGGUAAGACGGGUGCCAGCCGCCGCGGUAAUACCUGCAGCCCAAGUGGUGGUCGAUAUUAUUGAGUCUAAAACGUUCGUAGCCGGUUUAGUAAAUCCUUGGGUAAAUCGGGAAGCUUAACUUUCCGAAUUCCGAGGAGACUGCUAAACUUGGGACCGGGAGAGGCUAGAGGUACUUCUGGGGUAGGGGUAAAAUCCUGUAAUCCUAGAAGGACCACCGGUGGCGAAGGCGUCUAGCUAGAACGGAUCCGACGGUGAGGGACGAAGCCCUGGGUCGCAAACGGGAUUAGAUACCCCGGUAGUCCAGGGUGUAAACGCUGCAGACUUGGUGUUGGAGACCCUUUGGGGGUAUUCAGUGCCGGAGAGAAGUUGUUAAGUCUGCUACUUGGGGAGUACGUCCGCAAGGAUGAAACUUAAAGGAAUUGGCGGGGGAGCACCGCAACGGGAGGAGCGUGCGGUUUAAUUGGAUUCA
rnacentral:rRNA from 1 species